ensembl:lncRNA
CCCCACGGCGCGGAGACGGCCGGAUCACGUGAGGACUCCGUGGCGGCCCAACCCCGGCGGAAGGCUACGGCGCCUCUUGCUGGACGGAGGGCGUUCCAAAGAUUAGAGCUCGCGCUGCAGGGCAAAGAUUUUGUUUGAGAUCUCUCCAAAAACUCUUCGAGAGACCUCAAUUACAGGUUGUUAUGCUUCAGAGAAGUGAGCACUCUUGGCUACAUAACAUGCAGGAUCUUAGUUCCCUGACCAGGGAGUGAACCUGUGCCCCUGUGGUGGAAGUGCACUGGGAGUACAGUAGAAGUGGACCACCAGGAAAGCUUCUUGACCUUUAUCUAAGAUCAAAAUAUUAAAGAAAAUUUGGGCUCAAGAUUAUCAUUAUCAUUUUUUGUUCACUCAGAUUUGCAUAAGUGUUCUUGCCUGGAGAAUCCUAGGGACAGAGGAGCCUGGUGGGCUGCUGUCUAUGGGGUCACACAGAGUCAGACACGACUGAAGCGACUUAGCAGCAGCAGCAGCAACAUUGUAUAGGAAUUAGCGACAUAUGUGGAUGUGCUUCAGUUGCCUUUGUACAAAGAUAAACAUCUUUACCUGAAGGCUUGAUAUGGUCCCCACCUGCCUGUCCAGCUGUCUCUGGCAGAGCUCUCUACAGCAGGGGACCGCAGCUUCUGGGAUCUAAGGCCUGAUGAUCUGAGGUAGAGCUGAUGUAAUAAUAAUAGAAAUAAAGUACAUAAUAAAUAUAAUGCACUUGAAUCAUCCUGAAACCAUCCCCCUUCCCCAGGCCUGUGGAAGAAUUGUCUUCCAUGAAACCGGUCCCUGCUGCCAAAAAGCUUGGGGACCUUCUCCAGGACUGGAUCUUACAGCAAGUUAUGUGAUACUUUGCCCCUCUUGGCUUAUGGCCUUUGCCCUGCAUUUUCCUUCUCCUAUUGCUCUUUUCUCUGUUUUACCCCUGCUUUUGUGUAUUCUUAAAUAUGAAUGAAAAUUUUAAAUAGCUGUUAAUUAAUAAUUAUUGAGUGGUUACUUUUUGUCAGUUUCUGUGCUUUACAUACACUGUAUCUCUUAACCUUCACAAAAUCUGUAGCUGGUGUUACUGUCAUUAUUUUGCAAAUAAGGAAGUGUAAUUCUCCCUAGGUCCUGCAGCUGGGAAGUGAAGUUCCUGAGUUUAGAAGGAUUUGGCUACUUCCUGUGUCCUUAGACCAAAAUAAGUUCCUG